CAUUGCACAACUGGACGGUGGCAGAUGCCUCUUCCUGUUCAGCAUUUCUUCUCUCUGCAAGUUUGAACGAGCUCGGCUGCUGCUGCCUCUCUGCUGCUGGCCGUAGCUCCUUGCUGGAGCGUUGCUGGCUGACUCCCCGUGGAUGAAGGGGCUGACAGAAGCCAGGAGAGAAUGAAGGUGCCCAUGUCUAAGAGCACUUCAGCUCUGAGCAAGUCCCAGGUCAGGUCUCAGCAGCGCAGAGAUUUCUCCUAAGUCCUUAGAGCCACAGGCCUCCCUCAGCAUCAUGAACACCAGCAUGGAAGGCAUGCCCCAGGAGCUGCGCUUUGCCAUCCCUGCCGUGGGGACCCUGCUCCUCCUGGGCUGUGUCCUUCUGAAUGGCAUGAGCUUCUGGGUAUUCUGCUUCCGCAUCACAAAGUGGGGUUCAGGCAUGAUCCUCCAGUUUAGCCUGGUCCUGGGAGAUGUCCUGAUCAUCCCUGCUGCUCCAUUCAGGAUUGCCUAUUUCAGCCUGGACAACCGGUGGCCGUUUGGGCAGUUUCUCUGCCAGCUAGCAGUGUUCCUGCAUGGCAUCCAUAGAGUCCCCGGAGCCGCUGGUGGCAAUUCAGCCUGGCAGAAUUGCAAGAGUUUCAGGAUUUCUCUGUGUUCCCCCCAACGUUACUGA
rnacentral:lncRNA from 1 species